CACACACACGCAUGAAUACUGUCAUCACAUACCUUCAGCCUGACAAAGACACCUGAGAGAGGCUUUGGCAGAGCGGUGCUGAGCAGUGUGAGGUGCGAUCACAGGGCCUUCAGUGAUACUGAUGUCACACUGUUUCUAUUGUGUGCGUGCGUGAGGGUGUUUUGCCCUUGACUGUUGGCACUUGACUGCAUGCUGGGAAGCAGGUUUGCCUGCAUGUGUGAGAAUUGGGCUGGAGUUAAACAUUAGCCUUACAGGUGCAACACUCUGUCUCACAAAUUCACUGCACAACACACACACACACACACACACACACACACACACACACACACACACACACACACACUGCCACCUUCCAUUUGAGAGAAUCACAUGAUAGAGAGAGAGAGAGAGAGAAUGAGUAUUUGUGUGUCUUUGUGUUUGUUCCAGGAGUAGUGAUGUGUAUGUGUGCAUAUGUGAGCCUGACAGUGGGUGAGGGGUGUAUUUGUGUCAGCACAAUCAACACAGAAGCAGGGGCGAAAGGAAGUGAAGGAUUUUUGAGCAUAUGCCAGUGUGAAAAUAUUUGUGUUAGCGUGUGUUUUCCAUGUGGAUUUUGUUUAAAUCUAACUAUGCUUACAGAGAGCGGAGCUAAGGGGGAGUAAAAAAGGCAUUCACACUGUUUUAGCGGCCCCCUUGUGGUUAAAAGGAUACAACAUUUCCUCUACUUGGCAAGCCAGGAUGAAAUUUGUGCAGCUUGAAUGUUGUGUUACCUGCGGGGGUCAUUCAUCAGUUAUCAAGCAACUUCUCAGGGGGAUUCUGUAUCCUGCUGACUUCGAGUCUGAGCCCAAUCCAAAACUGUUGGCUUCAAGCAUCCAAGCCUGAAAACUUACAGUCAAUUCUUCAGUUUCUUUUACUUUGUUUCCAGGUUAUCCGGGACUUUGUUUUUUGGAUGCUAGCACAAAACACUUGCUUUUGCUGAGUGAGUAACACAGACUAUGACAGACUGUGUGUGAAGUGCUAAGUGAGCAGAAGACUAGACGACAGCCUCUCACAGCGUUCGCCAACAGCAUCUUGCCUUGGCAAAAGAACUGUCCUUUUUGCACAGCGAGUGGUAGCUGAUCAAAUGUGUUUGUGCGUCUGCGUCUGCUUAUGUGCAUGUGUGUGUUUCUAAGUUUGUUCUGAACACGGAGUUUAGUCUGAAAAUGUGAGUGGCUGCCUGCUCUGAUAAUGACAGAUAAUGUGUGAGUUUCUUUUGGAUUUGUGCGUUAUCAUCACUGCCUAUGUGUUUGUGUGUGUGGUGUGUGUGUGUGUGUGUGUGUGUGUGUGCAUUUAUUCAUUUUAGCACAAUUGUGUUGCACCCUGCUGAUCGCAACAGUAUGCAUUGAAUGCUCCAGAGAGAGUGAUAUCAGUGUGCCAUUUAAACUAAUCUGUCAGGUAAAGAACCACAGCACAGACAUCUUUGUAUAUACACACACACACACACACACACACACACACACACACACACACACACACACACACACACA